rnacentral:rRNA from 1 species
UACAGAGGCCUCAAGCGUUGUUCGGAUUCAUUGGGCGUAAAGAGCGUGUAGGCGGCCCGGUAAGUCCGCUGUGAAAGUCCAGGGCUCAACCCUGGGAUGCCGGUGGAUACUGUCGGGCUCGAGUCCGGAAGAGGAGUGUGGAAUUCCUGGUGUAGCGGUGAAAUGCGCAGAUAUCAGGAGGAACACCAAUGGCGAAGGCAGCACUCUGGGACGUGACUGACGCUGAGACGCGAAAGCGUGGGGAGCAAACAGG